rnacentral:rRNA from 1 species
AUAAACUAGGAUUAGAUACCCUACUAUAGAGAGCAAAAACUUAAAAAUAAGACCAAAGCACUAAAGUCAAAUGACUAAAACUUAAAGGGCAUGGCGGCGGACUCAACUUUCAGGGGAACUUACCAGGUAAUUGACAACCCCCAAGGAAUCUUACGUAACCUAAUAGUAUGUAUACCGCCGUCUAGCAGAUAUCACCUGAGGUGAUGUCGGAGUACUAUUCUUUGUAGAAAGACAGGUCAUGGCACAGCUUAUGGUUACGUUCAUGGCGAGUUACAAUAAAGAUUUUUUUCAGGGGAGUGUGGUUUAAACCACCUCUGAAGAUGGACUUGAAAGUAAUAGACACAGAAACAAUUAAUACUCUUUGAAUUUACUUUGAGGCCGUGCACACAUCGCCG